rnacentral:lncRNA from 1 species
GCCAGAUUGAUAACUCCACUCCCAGUUUAGUAAAAGGCUAGCGACCUUGAUUUCAGGAAGAAGGGGAAGUGCUGUGAGGAAAGCUCAAGCAAGCCAGGAAGUAGGUCAUGGUGAGUGCAGGACCACUGCUACAACGGGAAGGAGCAGGCGGCUGAACAGCCUGAGCUGAAAUGCUGUCUCCACUCCCACCGCUCGGAGGAUAGACACAAAUGCUAAUGGAGAGCAAGUCAGACCAGAGAUCUGGAAAAGGUCUGACCCAAGACUGGAAGCUCUAUUUAACCUUGAGGAGGAGUAAUGCUGUUGGGUGCCAUUGGGGACCUUAAGCGAGCUCCGAAGUUGAGACAUGGAUUGAACCGUCUCUGUGUCUUGCUUUGAGCGCUGCUGUUGGGUGCUGUGAGUGGACCUCAAGUAAGCUCCGUUUUUGAAACAUGGUAAGCGCAUGGUUACUGUCUAUAAUGGGUAGGGGCAGGUGGCUGAGCAGUGGGAGCUGAGGUGGUGUGUCCUCUCUGGGGCUGUAUGGGAAGCCUCAGCCAGAUGUAACCAGAUGUGGCCAAUUGUGCGGUCCUUU